UUCGUGCCGUUGUUGCAUUCCAGCCUGCGAGCCGAGGUUGUAGUCGGACAGUGCAUCAUCCUACUGAUCCAUAUCGCGUCCGGCUUCGAGCCAUUGGAGCUAGCUACUCACCAGGCGGACAUUCAUCUACUAUUCAGGGCCGCGACGACCCGGUCAGUAUCCCGAUCAGUUUAACCAUCCAUCUGAGGGCCCCCCCGGGGCCAUGGGAUCGGGGCAUCCCGAUCACUGGCUGCAGGUACGGUUGACCGGAGGAUUUUUGACGACUCAGUCAACAUAGAGGACAGCUCACCCGCCGGGUCAUGGGGAUGAGGUCAACCUUCCAGAAACGUCAUUCCGGCAGGUUCAUCUUCCCAGCUUCCCGACAGGAUCAUAUGGUAUUCUAUUUCACAAUAAUCUUCUCAUAUAAAAUAUUCGAGGACAAUGUUAUGAUGGUGCUAGUACUAUGUAUGGAGAAUGAAAUGGUUCUCAAGAUCUCAUUUUGAAUGAAUGCCCAUAUGCAUAUUUUGUUCA